rnacentral:rRNA from 1 species
UAGGGAAUUUUCCACAAUGGGCGAAAGCCUGAUGGAGCAACGCCGCGUGCAGGAUGAAGGGCUUCGGUUCGUAAACUGCUUUUAUAUGUGACGAUUAUGACGGUAGCAUAUGAAUAAGGAUCGGCUAAUUCCGUGCCAGCAGCCGCGGUCAUACGGAAGAUCCAAGCGUUAUCCGGAAUUACUGGGCGUAAAGAGUUGCGUAGGUGGCAUAGUAAGUAGAUAGUGAAAUGAUGUGGCUCAACCAUAUGUCCAUUAUCUAAACUGCUAAGCUAGAGGGCGAGAGAGGUUACUAGAAUUCCUUGUGUAGGAGUGAAAUCCGUAGAUAUAAGGAGGAAUACCGAUGGCGUAGGCAGGUAACUGGCUCGUCCCUGACACUAAGGCACGAAAGCGUGGGGAGCGACCGGG